UCUUCUUCAUUCUUCUUGGCUACCUUGGAGGCCUUCUUGCUGUGUUCUUGACCUCAAACUCUUCCUGGCCACUUCUUUCCACGGCCAUGGCCGACAUUUCCUUCGUCAGCACCAAGAAUGGUGCCAUCCACGCUAGGGUUAGCCCCAGCCAGGGAGUGGCCGCCCUCGGCCAGGCCUCCAGCCAGGGGCUCUUCCAGGCCAGGCUCAGCCCCGACCAGGGGGUGGCUGCCGUAGGCCAGGCCGUGGAUGUCCCCGAUCAGGCCGCGCCCAGCCUCGGCCAAGCUGCCGGCCAGGGCUUCAUCUAGACCCGAGUGGCUGCCGCCGGCCAAGGGGCGCUCGCCCCUAGGAGCCAGUGGGUGGAACAGAC
rnacentral:lncRNA from 1 species